AGCAGCAGCCGCGGGAAUACGAAGGGGGCUAGCGUUGCUCGGAAUUACUGGGCGUAAAGGGCGCGUAGGCGGACAGUUCAGUCGGGGGUGAAAGCCCGGGGCUCAACCUCGGAAUUGCCUUCGAUACUGGCUGUCUUGAGUAUGAGAGAGGUGUGUGGAACUCCGAGUGUAGAGGUGAAAUUCGUAGAUAUUCGGAAGAACACCAGUGGCGAAGGCGACACACUGGCUCAUUACUGACGCUGAGGCGCGAAAGCGUGGGGAGCAAACAGGAUUAGAUACCCCUGUAGUCCCUGUCUCUUAUAC
rnacentral:rRNA from 1 species